UAUCAUCUCAGAUAAGCAUUAGGAGUCCAUACAGGCUAGUCACUUACAGCAUAGCGUAAUGUAUCAUCUCAGGUAAGCAUUAGGAGUCCAUACAGGCUAGUCACUUACAGCAUAGCGUAAUGUAUCAUCUCAGGUAAGCAUUAGGAGUCCAUACAGGCUAGUCACUUACAGCAUAGCGUAAUGUAUCAUCUCAGGUAAGCAUUAGGAGUCCAUACAGGCUAGUCACUUACAGCAUAGCGUAAUGUAUCAUCUCAGGUAAGCAUUAGGAGUCCAUACAGGCUAGUCACUUACAGCAUAGCGUAAUGUAUCAUCUCAGGUAAGCAUUAGGAGUCCAUA